ACACCGGUGUUUUUCAACACCACGAUAAUAAUUUUUAGAAAUAUGG
rfam:Picea glauca, whole genome shotgun sequence.